rnacentral:rRNA from 1 species
UUGAGUUAGUGGCGGACGGGUGAGUAACGCGUGGAUAACCUGCCGUAUACCGGGGGAUAACACUUAGAAAUAGGUGCUAAUACCGCAUAAGCGCACGAAACCGCAUGGUUUUGUGUGAAAAACUACCGGUGGUAUGAGAUGGGUCCGCGUCUGAUUAGCUAGUUGGCAGGGUAACGGCCUACCAAGGCGACGAUCAGUAGCCGGCCUGAGAGGGUGUACGGCCACAUUGGGACUGAGACACGGCCCAAACUCCUACGGAAGGCAGCAG